GCCCCGCUAGCUCAAUUGGUUAGAGCAUGCGACUUUUAAUCGCAAGGUUGCGAGUUCGACCCUCGCGCGGGGCU
rnacentral:tRNA from 1 species